rnacentral:rRNA from 1 species
GACGAACGCUGGCGGCGUGCUUAACACAUGCAAGUCGAACGAUGAACCCGGAGCUUGCUCCGGCGGAUCAGUGGCGAACGGGUGAGUAACACGUGAGUAACCUGCCCUUGACUCUGGGAUAACUGCGGGAAACUGUAGCUAAUACCGGAUACGACCCUCGGCGGCAUCGCCAGGGGGUGGAAAGAAUUUCGGUCAAGGAUGGACUCGCGGCCUAUCAGCUAGUUGGUGAGGUAACGGCUCACCAAGGCGACGACGUGUAGCCGGCCUGAGAGGGUGACCGGCCACACUGGGACUGAGACACGGCCCAGACUCCUACGGGAGGCAGCAGUGGGGAAUAUUGCACAAUGGGCGCAAGCCUGAUGCAGCAACGCCGCGUGAGGGAUGACGGCCUUCGGGUUGUAAACCUCUUUUAGUAGGGAAGAAGCGGAAGUGACGGUACCUGCAGAAAAAGCACCGGCUAACUACGUGCCAGCCGCCGCCGUAA